rnacentral:lncRNA from 1 species
GUUUUUUCUUUAUUUCAAAUUCUCAGGUAUUUUAGCUUUUCGUUUGUACGUUUUUAAUUCAUAUUUUCUAGUGAUCAUGUAAUGACCACAACUUAGUUAGAAAAUGCAGUAUUUUGUUGUUAGGGACCAAGCACACCACAUCAUUCAUUUACGAGGAUAAUGGGUAGAUGGCAUGGAUCUGGUUUGCCCCUUAUAAAUAUUUUAUAGAACCAACCCGACAAGGUUUUCCAGCAACUUACAGUUGUCUGAAAUCCUGUCAAAGUUCCAGAUUUCCUACUUGGAACACAUUGUAGAAUACUAAACAGUCAUGAAAGUGCUCAGAAAGAAAAACAACCACCUUCACCUUUCAUCUACAAAAUGGCAUCUCUGCCUAUUUGUCAUCAUCACCUAAUCACAAACAAAUGCCACUUAUUGGCAAAUGGCUGAAAAACAAGUCACAUGUCUUAAUGGUUCUUUGUUUGCUAUUCUAAUAGACACCAUGCCAGAUUACUGUUGAUCCACUCUUUCUCACUCUUCAAGUUAAACCAUUCUUUCAUUUCACCCCUCAAUUAACCAUCAAUAUGAUAAAAACUGCCUGACAAAAAUCCCACUUAAAACAUUCCUAUGUUGUGACUUGAAUGUAACUGUCUGAUGUUUCUAUCUUUGCAUUGUCUUCGACUGUUUCCUCUGUGUUGAGAAGAUGCUUAUUCUGGUGCAGUUUUCUGUCUGUAUCGUUCCUGUUUACGUCCACUGGUGGUUGUACUUCGAGAAAUCUGUCUCUUUAGUAUUUUUGUAUUGUAAAAUCUUCUCACCCUUCUCCCUAUCGCUCUCUCUCUCUCUCUCUCUCUCUCUCUCUCUCUCUCUCUCCCUCUCUCUCUCUCUCUCUCUCUCUCUCUCUCUCUCUCUCUCUCUCUCUCUCUCUCUCUCUCUCUCUCUGUUGACAAUUGUGUGCAUGCUUAUGGUGUGCAAUGUACUGUAGGCAAGGUUGUUAAGAUAAUUGUUUGUGUCUUCUGUGUUGAAAAGCUCCACCUGACAGCCUCCCUGCAUGCCAUUUCAGGCUGAUCUUUUAGUCUCUGUAACAUUCCUGCCAAAAUGGAAUCACCGCACACUCUGAGAAUAAAGUGAUUUCAUAUAAUUGUUCAUCGUCGUGUGUUUCUGAUGGCUCACUGUACAUUAUAAUUCUCAUAAAUUAUUCAAAAGCAGUGCAGUGGUAUAAACGUAGUUCUGUUAUAGGGAAAUGAGAAAAGAUUUUGUAGGACUGUAGAGAUUACUUCCAGAACCGCAAUAUGAAAUCAUACUUAUCUUAUUUGAGUAAACGCAACGACAUUACAUGUGCAGACAACAAUGUAUCAAUUGUAACUGUUUCUGUUGCUGACGUUCAUUUUUCAUCUCAACAUGGUUGUUAUGCAUCUUCAC